rnacentral:lncRNA from 1 species
ACACUGAUAAACUCUCCCUUUCCCAAACUCAUCUUCAACCCCCUUGCACUGCCUGUUUAAUUCAGCGUCAUCAGAAAAUAACCCCAAAUGUCUUGCACUCCUGGCUUCUGCUGAUAGAGGAGAAAGGGCUUAAGACCCUGAAAAAAAAAAUUUAUAGGAAAAUUUCCCCAAAAGGUAAGCACAAUAAAAAGUCAAAAGGAGGUACGGGCUGAAGAAUGACUUCCUGCAAUGUGUAAUUUCAAGGCCUUGGCAACCACCUUUCUACUUUCCAAUUCUAUAAUUUUUAACCACUUUAGAUACUUCAUAAUUAGAGUUUGUCAAAGGUGUUAAAAAUAAAAUGAGUGUGAAUGUCCUACAAGGUUUAUGAGAAAGUUCAGAAGGAAAGUAAAGAAAGACUAAGCAGCAAGACUUUUAGUAUUCCUGUAUCCUGGAGAAGGCAGCACUCGAGCCACCAUCUUGGAAGUGAAGAUCAGGCCCUCAGCAGACACAAAACCUGCCAGUGCCAUGAUCUUGGAUUUUUCAACCUGCAGGACUAUUCAAUGAAAUUCCAAUGAAAAUCUCAAGUUAUUAUGUGAAUAUUGAAAAACGAACCCUAAAGUUUAUAUGGAGAGCCAAAAAAUGCAAAAGAGCCAGCACAUAUUGAAAGAGAAGAACAAAGUCAGAAGAUUGACACUACCUGACUUCAAGACUUAUGAUAAAGCUUCAGUAAUAAAGACAGUGUGGUAUGGACAAACUAAUAGAAAUACAGAUCAAUGGAACAGAACAGAGAACCCAGAAAUAGAUUCACAUAAAUAUAUUGUCAACUGACCUUUGACAAAUAAGAAAAAGCAAUACAGUAGAGCAAAAAUAGCCUUUUCACUAAACAAAUGAACAUCCACAUUCAAAAAAAAAAAAUGAAUCUAGAUGGAGACUUACAUGCUUCACAAAAAUUAACUCAAAAUGAAUAAUAAACCUAAAUGUAAAA